UACGAAGGGGGCUAGCGUUAAUCGGAAUUACUGGGCGUAAAGCGUGCGCAGGCGGUUGUGCAAGACAGAUGUGAAAUCCCCGGGCUUAACCUGGGAACUGCGCUUGUAACUGGCAAGCUAGAGUGUGGCAGAGGGGGGUGGAAUUCCAGGUGUAGCAGUGAAAUGCGUAGAGAUCUGGAGGAACACCGAUGGCGAAGGCAGCCCCCUGGGCUAACACUGACGCUCAUGCACGAAAGCGUGGGGAGCAAACAGG
rnacentral:rRNA from 1 species